rnacentral:rRNA from 1 species
UACGUAGGGUGCAAGCGUUAAUCGGAAUUACUGGGCGUAAAGCGCGCGCAGGCGGUCUUGCAAGUCAGGGGUGAAAGCCCGGGGCUCAACCUCGGAACUGCCUUUGAGACUGUGAGACUCGAGACCGAGAGAGGAGAGUGGAAUUCCCAGUGUAGAGGUGAAAUUCGUAGAUAUUGGGAAGAACACCAGUGGCGAAGGCGGCUCUCUGGCUCGGUACUGACGCUGAGGCGCGAAAGCGUGGGGAGCAAACAGG